rnacentral:rRNA from 1 species
CCUACGGGAGGCAGCAGUGAGGAAUAUUGGUCAAUGGGCGGAAGCCUGAACCAGCAAAGUAGCGUGCAGGAUGACGGCCCUACGGGUUGUAAACUGCUUUUAUACGGGAAUAACGCGCCUUACGUGUAGGGCUUUGCAUGUACCGUAUGAAUAAGGACCGGCUAAUUCCGUGCCAGCAGCCGCGGUAAUACGGAGGGUCCGGGCGUUAUCCGGAUUUAUUGGGGUUAAAGGGAGCGUAGGCCGGAUGUCAAGCGUGCUGUGAAAUGUCCGGGCUCAACCCGGGCCUUGCAGCGCGAACUGGCUUGCUUGAGUCCGCGGAAAGCAGGCGGAAUUCGUCGUGUAGCGGUGAAAUGCUUAGAUAUUACGAAGAACCCCGAUUGCGAAGGCAGCUUACUAAACUAUAACCGACACUGAAGCACGAAAGCGUGGGGAUCAAACAGGAUUAGAUACCCCUGUAGUC